rnacentral:tRNA from 1 species
GGUAGAAUGGCUGAGAAUUUAGGCAAUAGAUUGUAAAUUUAUUUAGGAGGGAAGGCCUCUUCUGCCA